GUGGGGAAUCUUGCGCAAUGGGCGAAAGCCUGACGCAGCCAUGCCGCGUGAAUGAUGAAGGUCUUAGGAUUGUAAAAUUCUUUCACCGGGGACGAUAAUGACGGUACCCGGAGAAGAAGCUCCGGCUAACUUCGUGCCAGCAGCCGCGGUAAUACGAAGGGGGCUAGCGUUGCUCGGAAUUACUGGGCGUAAAGGGCGCGUAGGCGGACAGCUUAGUCAGAGGUGAAAGCCCAGGGCUCAACCUUGGAAUUGCCUUUGAUACUGGCUGUCUUGAGUUCGGGAGAGGUGAGUGGAACUCCGAGUGUAGAGGUGAAAUUCGUAGAUAUUCGGAAGAACACCAGUGGCGAAGGCGACUCACUGGCCCAAUACUGACGCUGAGGCGCGAAAGCGUGGGGAGCAAACAGGAUUAGAAACCCCGGUAGUCC
rnacentral:rRNA from 1 species